rnacentral:rRNA from 1 species
GAUGAACGCUGGCGGCGUGCCUAAUACAUGCAAGUCGAGCGAACGGACGAGAAGCUUGCUUCUCUGAUGUUAGCGGCGGACGGGUGAGUAACACGUGGAUAACCUACCUAUAAGACUGGGAUAACUUCGGGAAACCGGAUCUAAUACCGGAUAAUAGUUUGAACCGCAUGGUUCAAAAGUGAAAGACGUUCUUGCUGUCACUUAUAGAUGUAUCCGCGCUGCAUUAGCUAGUUGGUAAGGUAACGGCUUACCAAGGCAACGAUGCAUAGCCGACCUGAGAGGGUGAUCGGUCACACUGGAACUGAGACACGGUCCAGACUCCUACGGGAGGCAGCAGUAGGGAAUCUUGCGCAAUGGGCGAAAGCCUGACGGAGCAACGCCGCGUGAGUGAUGAAGGUCUUCGGAUCGUAAAACUCUGUUAUUAGGGAAGAACAUAUGUGUAAGUAAAUGUGCAUAUCUUGACGGUACCUAAACAGAAAGCAACGGCUAACUACGUG